rnacentral:lncRNA from 1 species
AGGGCCAAACGGGUUAGAAAUUGCUCCCUCUCCACCAGGUGUGCGCUCACCAAGAACAAUCAAAAGCUCCCUUUCUGCCUACUUUUCCAGGGAUGGUGGGUCUGUGGGGUGGGUCACAGCUUCCGCUUCGUCACUCAGCUUGAAGUUGGUCCCUCCCUGACCCACUCCCAGCUACAUGCACAAACAUCUGAAAGUAGGCUGGCCUCUGUGGCUCACAUCUGGAAUGUUCCUGUGUGGAUACCCAUCUGCAAAGGGGCUAGAGGUUUGAACAAACAGCUGCAUGGACUUAUCAUCUGGGAUGGGCCCAGCCCCAUGGACAGAUACAAGAAAUAAGCCCAACUCUGUGGGCAGGUCUCUGGAUUAGACACAUCUGGAAGUUGCAGGUCAGGUGGACACAUCUGGAAGGGGCCCGGCUGCUGGCCACCAUGGAAGGGCCGUGCCCUCUGUCCCCAUGGCAGUUUAAAGCAAGCCCUCCCUUCAGUCCUGAAUUUGCCCUGGAGUUAAAAUUUCAGAGCUGAGGUCGUACAUGAAGUCACAAAACUUUUAGGUAGAAGGUUAAUGUUCUGUACAAUAUAUAUAUGAAUGUAAAAUAUAUAUAUAUACUGUAUAUAUAUAUAUAUGCACAGUGUAUAUAUGACCUGUAGCCCAUGUGUAUACAACCCUUUCUUGCACGUCUGCACACAGAGUGUACAUAACCCAGCCAGCAUGGGUGGGGACCAGGUGAGAGAUGGGGGCUGCAGCAGCAAAGUCUGGGACGGAGGUCUCAGAGAGCCCCUUGGGGUGAGGAAGGCCCUCCACACAUCAGAGCUCCAGACCCUGAAGAAGAGGGCAGAGCUCCAUGGUGCUGCCAGGUGAGUCCUGCACCGCCAGGGCCUCCUGUGGGAGGGGCAGGAUUGGCCAACGGACCUCAUCUCCAUCCGAGCCUGUCUGAGGCAGGACAGCCGGGUGUGUCUGAGAAGCAAUGUCAUGCUAGUACUCAGCCCCUGUGCCAAUAUUACAUUCUAGUUCUGGGGCAGUUCAUCAGGAGCAGAAGAGCUGGGAAAGAGCAGACCACUCCCCAGGCGUGUUCUCACACCUGCCUGCAGAAUCGCAGGUAGGUUUCAGGCUCCACCUAGGAUACCCUAGAAGGUGGGGCUAGUCUCGGUAGCAAAAGCCUCUGCCUCUGAUUCUCACCCACUUGCAGAAGCAGUCACAACUUGCACACAACACAGCUCACAGCUAGGGAAAGCACCUGUUAAAGAGAAUGCCCCCAGGGCAUGGCCAGCAUGCUGAUACAGUGUUCCCAUGCCCCUGUUAUUGAUCCUGUCCUCCUGCCUUCUAGAACAGUGGACCUCACAUCACCUCCCAGAUUGUCUCCAUUUUAUGAAUCAAAACUCUGAGGCCUCCAGACAUGAAGAAGCAGCCAUAGAUUCAGUCAAAUGCCAGCCAAGGGUUUGCCUCACCUCAGACAACCUCCCCAGCCCCAUUUGACCCAGAGACCAGCUGCCAGGGAGUGACCUCAGAGCCAGAGAGGUGAAAGAUGAGAGGCAAGAAGGUAGCUCCUAGCCUAGCACGGGCCAGGCUCCAUCUAUCUGCCCUUCUGUCCCCUGCGGCAUCCUGGCAGGGCAGCUGGCAGAGUGCCCCCUCCCCAGGAGGCUGCAGACCUCUGUCCCUGGCUCACCCAGAUCGGUCUGUUCUCUGCAGUUCCAUUCCUUUAGCCUCUUUUGCAGGUCUGAGCAUCUCUGGAGCAUGCAGGGGAGGAGAUAUCUGAAGUGGGCUUACGUGCAGUCAGCAGCCUGCCCCAGCUUCGGCCUCGGGUGUCAGGCUGGUCUGCACUGAACUCUGGGUCUGCCUCUGGGGCCCUGACCAAGCACGCCUGACUCCAGCCCCAUGAGGAGCAUCCCGUCUUGGUUCCAUAGGAAUCAUGGGCCCUCUUACCACUGUGCGUCAAGCCCCCAUCCCAUCUCUGCCUGGGCCGACUUCCUGGUUGGGCCUCCCAUGGUAGGGGCCUCAGUUCCCAGGCUCUGGGCUGAGCCCCCAGGCAGCACCAUGGGCCUCUGAGACCCUAGACCUGUCCCACCACCCAGACCAGAGUGCCUGGAAGCCCCCUACUCCCACUCAACAUGGUUCCCACACACUGGUCUCUGGGCCAUUCAGGGGAUGCCCUUUGUGGACAUGCAGAAUUUCUAUGAAUAUAGUUUUUUGUAAACAUUUUGUAACAAUUUGGGUUUCAUAGUAACUGUGUUACUUGCCAAUCAUUCUAGGCUGAUGUAAAUAAGUUUCCAAACAAAUCCGAUUAUUUUCCUUUUUAAGACACUGUGAUAUAUCAAAGUGCACAGUUUGCUGUAUGAAGUAAUAUGGUUUUAAAUUUUAAAUAAAAUGUUUCUAGAAAACAGG